rnacentral:miRNA from 1 species
CAAACGCCAUUAUCACACU